UCCUACGGGGCGCAGCAGUAGGGAAUCUUCCACAAUGGACGAAAGUCUGAUGGAGCAACGCCGCGUGAGUGAAGAAGGGUUUCGGCUCGUAAAGCUCUUUUGGGAGUGAAGAAAGAUAGAGGUAGUAACUGGCCUUUAUUUGACGGUAAUUACUUAGAAAGUCACGGCUAACUACGUGCCAGCAGCCGCGGUAAUACGUAGGUGGCAAGCGUUGUCCGGAUUUAUUGGGCGUAAAGCGAGUGCAGGCGGAUCAAUAAGUCUUAUGUGUAAGACUUUGGCUCAACCGG
rnacentral:rRNA from 1 species